GAGUUCAAGAGUACGUGAAACUGCUUAGAGGUUAAGCCCGAUGAACCUGAAUAUCCGUUAUGGAAAAUUCAUCACUAAUAACUAUGAUAUUUAUAAUAUUAUAGAAAUGGUGUGCAAUUUUUCCAUAUAAGGACAUUGUAAUCUGUUAAUGUAAUAAAUAUUUAUUAAAAGAUCUUAUACAUAAGUUUAUUCAAAUUAGUUAUUUUCGGAUUUCUAACAUAGAAUAAAUGUAUUUGAUUUAAUAAAUCAUUGACAGAUUUAAUUAUAAUAUAGUGCUUAAAUUUUGAAAGAAAUUUUACAAUAAUAUGAUAAUUCAAUUUGUUAUAUUUAUUGUAUGCACUUAUAUGAUUAACAAUGCGAUAGAUUCAGGAUACCUUCGGGACCCGUCUUGAAACACGGACCAAGGAGUCUAACAUAUGUGCAAGUCAUUGGGUAUUUUUAAUAAAACCCAAUGGCAUAAUUAACUUAACUGUUUUUUAAAUGGGAUUAGUUUAUAUUUUAUUAUGAAAUAUUAAUUCAAUCCCGGGGCGUUCUAUACAGUUAUGCAUAAUGAUAUUUAUAUUAUUUAUGUCUCUAACU
rnacentral:rRNA from 1 species